GAUGACCAAUUCACUGCCACAAAAAGAGAAGGGAUGUUGAUGUUGAGGCCCGAUGCAGUCCGUUUUCAUUCAUCGCCCUAAGCCGAAGAGGAGGAAACCCCCUUCUGUGAGGGUGCCUCCAGAACCAAGUGCAACAGACCACACAUAUUGCGCCAAAUUAAACUUCGAGAUUGAGGGAGAAAUUGAGGUGGAUUUCAAGAGCGAUGAAAAGGACAUGACAGGAGACACAGAGAGCAAUCAAGAGGCCACUUUGCCAGGGGCAGGUGAUCCAGGGACCAGACUGCCAGGGACUGAUGGGGCGACUGUGGAGGACCCAAUAAGGCAACUAGAAAAGUUAAUGAGAAGGAGAGUAGAGAGGGCUCUUGUAAAACAAAAAAUAAUAAAUUUGGCACUAAGAAAGAGAAACAAUUCAGUCAACAAGAAGUUAAAACGAAACAGCCAUACAGGUUAAAUUCACCGCCCAUCAUAAUCAGCAUUGUUGAAGCGGCGGCAUCUUUAGGG